UGGGGAAUUGUUCGCAAUGGGCGCAAGCCUGAUGCAGCGACGCCGCGUGAGGGAAGAAGGCCUUCGGGUUGUAAACCUCUUUCGGCAGGGAAGAAGCCGCAAGGUGACGGUACCUGCAGAAGAAGCCCCGGCUAACUACGUGCCAGCAGCCGCGGUAAGACGUAGGGGGCGAGCGUUGUCCGGAUUUAUUGGGCGUAAAGCGCGCGUAGGCGGCUCGUUAAGUCGGGUGUGAAAACCCGGGGCUCAACCCCGGGCCUGCAUCCGAUACUGGCGGGCUCGAGGCAGGCAGGGGAGAGUGGAAUUCCUGGUGUAGCGGUGAAAUGCGCAGAUAUCAGGAGGAACACCGGUGGCGAAGGCGGCUCUCUGGGCCUGUCCUGACGCUCAGGCGCGAAAGCUAGGGGAGCAAACAG
rnacentral:rRNA from 1 species